UGGAAGAGCUGGAGGCACACGUUAUCCUUUGCUAUGCCUAUGAUGGGUGUGAUUACCUCCAUCAGAGGGAUAGGAUGGACAGCUGGUGUCAGUGAAACUA
ensembl:miRNA gga-mir-1700 gga-mir-1700